rnacentral:rRNA from 1 species
AGAGUUUGAUCAUGGCUCAGAUUGAACGCUGGCGGCAUGCCUAAUACAUGCAAGUCGAACGGUAACAGGCUUUUCGGAGUGCUGACGAGUGGCGGACGGGUGAGUAACGCGUGGGAAUCUGCCCUGUAGCGGGGGACAACCUUAGGAAACUGAGGCUAAUACCGCAUACCUUCUACGGAAGAAAGUAGGCCACUGAAUAUGCUUACACUACAGGAUGAGCCCGCGUUGGAUUAGCUAGUUGGUAAGGUAAUGGCUUACCAAGGCUACGAUCCAUAACUGGUCUGAGAGGACGACCAGUCACACCGGGACUGAGACACGGCCCGGACUCCUACGGGAGGCAGCAGUAGGGAAUAUUGGGCAAUUGGCGCAAGCCUGACCCAGCAAUGCCGCGUGUGUGAAGAAGGCCUUAGGGUUGUAAAGCACUUUCAGGAGGGAAGAAAAGGUUAGGAAUAAUACGCCUAACUCAUGACGUUACCUCCAAAAGAAGCACCGGCUAACUCUGUGCCAGCAGCCGCGGUAAUACAGAGGGUGCGAGCGUUAAUCGGAAUUACUGGGCGUAAAGGGUGCGUAGGCGGUUAGAUAAGUUAGAUGUGAAAUCCCUGGGCUCAACCUGGGAACUGCCUCUAAAACUAUCUAACUCGAGUGCAGUAGAGGAAAGUGGAAUUUCCGGUGUAGCGGUGAAAUGCGUAGAUAUCGGAAGGAACAUC